rnacentral:misc_RNA from 1 species
UAAAGGUGCAUGAGUGGUAUUUGGUUUGAUACGGGUGGUUGGCUCCCUGCUUGAGCAGGCACAACCWCGCGUGCAUUCCUUUUCAGUUGUUCGACAAGGCUUGUAUCGUCUUGAUCGUAUWAGCGGGUUUCUUGUGUUGCAUACCUGAUCAAUGGCAUCGUUACGAUCAAAAUUAUUUCAUUUUCGUCUAUGAAUGCACCCGCAUUGUUAGAUGAACUGAGUAGCAUUCUCUUUGAUCCAUACAGUUGACGUGCAUUCGUUGAUUGUUUGGCUCAUUGAGUAAUGACUUGGUCUCUUGGAUAUGGAAGCCAAAGUGGGCAUGGGUUCGUAAGUUCCUUUUUUUGCCCUCAUUGAGCGUUCUCGCUUCUCUUACACGACCGCCUUUCACGUAUGGCACGUCCCAGCGUGUUUGGCUACGUCGAAGAGGAAUGC